CCUACAGGAGGCAGCAGUGAGGAAUAUUGGUCAAUGGACGAGAGUCUGAACCAGCCAAGUAGCGUGAAGGAUGACUGCCCUAUGGGUUUUAAACUUCUUUUAUAAAGGAAUACAACGAGGCACGUGUGCCUUUUUGCAUUGACUUUAUGAAUAAGGAUCGGCUAACUCCGUGCCAGCAGCCGCGGUAAUACGGAGGAUCCGAGCGUUAUCCGGAUUUCGUGGGUUUAAAGGGAGCGUAGAUGGGUUGUUAAGUCAGUUGUGAAAGUUUGCGGCUCAACCGUACAAUUGCAAUUGAUACUGGCAGUCUUGAGUACAGUUGAGGUAGGCGGAAUUCGUGGUGUAGCGGUGAAAUGCUUAGAUAUCACGAAGAACCCCGAUUGCGAAGGCAGCUUACUAAACUGUGACUGACAUUGAUGCUCGAAAGUGUGGGUAUCAAACAGGAUUAGAUACCCUAGUAGUC
rnacentral:rRNA from 1 species